UUCCGGUUGAUCCCGCCGGACCUGACUGCUAUCGGAUUGAUACUAAGCCAUGCGAGUCAUUGUAGCAAUACAAGGCAGACGGCUCAGUAACGCGUAGUCAACCUAACCUAUGGACGGGAAUAACCUCGGGAAACUGAGUAUAAUGCCCGAUAGAACAUUAUACCUGGAAUGGUUUAUGUUCCAAAUGAUUUAUCGCCGUAGGAUGGGACUGCGGCCUAUCAGUUUGUUGGUGAGGUAAUGGCCCACCAAGACUAUUACAGGUACGGGCUCUGAGAGGAGUAGCCCGGAGAUGGGUACUGAGACACGGACCCAGGCCCUAUGGGGCGCAGCAGGCGAGAAAACUUUGCAAUGUGCGAAAGCACGACAAGGUUAAUCCGAGUGGUUUCUGCUAAAGGAACCUUUUGUUAGUCCUAGAAACACUAACGAAUAAGGGGUGGGCAAGUUCUGGUGUCAGCCGCCGCGGUAAAACCAGCACCUCAAGUGGUCAGGAUGAUUAUUGGGCCUAAAGCAUCCGUAGCCGGCUCUGUAAGUUUUCGGUUAAAUCUGUACGCUUAACGUACAGGCCGCCGGGAAUACUGCAGAGCUAGGGAGUGGGAGAGGUAGACGGUACUCGGGAGGAAGUGGUAAAAUGCUUUGAUCUCUCGAUGACCACCUGUGGCGAAGGCGGUCUACCAGAACACGUCCGACGGUGAGGGAUGGAAGCUGGGGGAGCAAACCGGAUUAGAUACCCGGGUAGUCCCAGCUGUAAACUAUGCAAACUCAGUGAUGCAUUGGCUUGUGGCCAGUGCAGUGCCGCAGAGAAGUCGUUAAGUUUGCCGCCUGGGAAGUACGUACGCAAGUAUGAAACUUAAAGGAAUUGGCGGGGGAGCACCACAAGGGGUGAAGCCUGCGGUUCAAUUGGAUUCAACGCCGGGAU
rnacentral:rRNA from 1 species